rnacentral:rRNA from 1 species
UUGACCUCGGAUCAGGUAGGGAUACCCGCUGAACUUAMGCAUAUCAAUAASCGGAGGAAAAGAAACCAACAGGGAUUGCCCUAGUAACGGCGAGUGAAGCGGCAACAGCUCAAAUUUGAAAUCUGGC